UUAUAGUUCAUCCACAUAAAUUCUAGACAAGUUCCUUCACAGGCACUAAUAUUCAAAGCAGCAAGCAACUCAAGGAGAUCAUUGCUUGCAUGCCGCUGCUUAAUUGAUUAUAAAUAUGGUAUGUUUAUUUUUUCCUUAACACAUAUAUUUCUCUUGUGUACUUCUUACCGAUCUUAUAUUGCACUACCUCAUAUGCACUUAGGUAAAAAAAAAUCUGAAAAAUAGGACUUCAUGAUAACCUAGGAUACGGUGUUAAUUAAAGAGUUCUACUUUUAGAAUAUAGAUGCUAUUUAGUGUUCAAACAGCAAGAAAAUAGAAAGAAGGGAACCUUGGAUAUUUAGCUCCAAGGAUGUCUUUCUGCCCAUACUUUCUCCAGCUAAAGCCAUCAUCAAGAGGCCCUUCUAGUCCCAUCCCUGGGUUAACUCGCACUUGCUGUGUCCACCUUGGCGUGCCCUUCCUGAAAAAUUAACCGCAGUUUAGCUAGACAGACACCCAGCCAAAGUUAUUGUCUAAAAAAACACUAAUAAGGUAUCAACAUAUGUAUAUGUAUAUAUACCUCUUCCUAGACCCAUCUUUAGGGUCGUGGUCCUUGAAGUCCCUGUCGGAGUCUUCACUCCGGGGACUUCCACUUAGAGAAGGCGGCGACUCAGACAUCCCAAUGGCAAAUCCAGUGGGAUUCGUCUCUCUUAUUGAGCUGCUCAAAUUUAGCACCGAAAGUGACUUUUCAAAGGAAGCAAGGAUUUUCUGGACCAACACUUCACGGGUUUCUCGCGAAGAAGAUGGCACGUUGAGAUGGAUUUGGAGCUGCCUUGCUAGCUCUCUCCCUAGCGUUAGCUCGUUUACAAGAUUCUUUGUUUGCUCCCAGUCCCCCAUAUUAUCCAUUUACAAGUUGAAUAUAACUCAGAAAUUAAGCUCUACUCCAAUGGUUUGAUCAAGUAAUCAAGCUAGGCUGACUGUUGCAGUGGGUUACUAAUUUUCUAGCUCAUAUAAUCACGAGAGAUCGUAUAAUGAUAGGAAAUAGCAAGUAUAAGAUGAGAAGCCAAUACGAGGAAUUCAAGUACUAAAUUACUAAAUUAUGGAGACAAAUGAUGAAGGAAAUGGAUCAACUGAAAAAGGGGAAACUAUAACAGAACAUGAUUAUAAUGAUCUGAGGUUCGUGGGUUUUUGAAACUGCAAAGAUAUAAGAUUGAGAAGCUGAGGAACGAGAGAAGGUGGUGUGGGUUUUAAGGUAAACCCUCGUUUUGAAUGAAGAAAAGAGGGAAGGAGAAAGGAGCUGAAAGAGAAAAGUUUGACGGAGAAAAAUAGCAUUAAGACCGGUCUUUGGUCAUCGGAACUGUGGUUCAAAGGCUGAGGAAAGUCCAAUUGCUGACCAUUUCAACUUCCACUCUCCACUUCUUCUUUUUUUUUUUUUUUCCGCCCUGCCCCCUUUUUGGUUUAGACAUUCUUUUAUAAAAAUAAAAUAUCUUUAAAACAUCUUUUCAAUUUUUUAAAAUGGGACCGAAUAUUUGAAGCGUACAAAUUAAAAUCUCUUAAAAUUUUAUUUAAAUAUAUUUAUUAUUGGAUUAAAUUUUUAAAUAAUUUAAAAUAUUUUUAUAUUUUAUAUAAAUAGAGAUAUAAUUAAUGUAAUUAAAAUAAUAAAUUUUAAUUUUCUAUUUUCUAAAAUAAUUUUACUUCUUCACAUAUAUUCAACUUGAAUAUAUUAAUUAGCAAAUUAAUUUCCAACAUAUAAUGCAUAAUAUUCACUAAUUUAGUUUUAAUUAUAUUUUCAUAUUUAAUGUACAUUAAAAAAUUAUUUCUUAAAUAUUAUUAAAUAGAAAAACGAAAUAUAGAUUGUAAAUUUAAAAUUCUUUGUUGAAUUUAAACAUAUAUUUGAUAAUUAAUGGAGAUGGGAACUGGGAAGUUAAAAAAGGAAUCAUUAGAAGAAUCUUUUAUAUCUUGUUUGGAUUGAUAGAAAAUAAGAACAGAAAAUAAAAUAAUUUUUCAUUUUUAUUUAUUUGAAAAGAAAAAAAUGAAAUAAGUUAGAAAAAUAUGUAACAAUACUCAUAAAUAAUUUUCACAUUAAAUUAGAGAGAAAGUGAAUAGUAAAUAAAUGAAAUUAUUUUUUAGUUUUAUAAUAAUUUAUUGUCACAAUAAAUAAAAAAAUAAAAUAGAUAUAUAUUUUUACUAUUUCCUAUUCUCUUUUAUUUUUCUCUUAAACACUUAAAAAAAUUAUUUAAAUUUAUUUUUUAUUUGUUUUGCAUUUGUUUCCUCUCCAAGAAGUUUCCCAAAACAAUGAUACGGCAGUUCCGGCUUCAGCGUUUACACCAGUAAGUUCAGACGACAAUUUCCAUUUGCUCGAUGUGACCAGCACAAGUCUACUAGCCUUCAGCGUUUGAUAUAUGACAUGUCCAC
rnacentral:lncRNA from 1 species